rnacentral:rRNA from 1 species
UACGGGGGGGCAAGCGUUGUUCGGAAUUACUGGGCGUAAAGGGCUCGUAGGCGGCCAACUAAGUCAGACGUGAAAUCCCUCGGCUUAACCGGGGAACUGCGUCUGAUACUGGAUGGCUUGAAUCCGGGAGAGGGAUGCGGAAUUCCAGGUGUAGCGGUGAAAUGCGUAGAUAUCUGGAGGAACACCGGUGGCGAAGGCGGCAUCCUGGACCGGUAUUGACGCUGAGGCGCGGAAAGCCAGGGGA